GAUGAGAAGCUCAAGAGCAUGGACCAAGAGAUAGCUGUUAACCCGCAAUAUGUUCAAAAGAGCAUGGGAGUUCGAGAAGACGAUGAAGUGGGCGGAGUCUUUGGAGGGAAAUAGGACACACUGUAUAGCUAAAUGUACAUAAUCAUGAUGGAUUUGUAAAUUGCAGGAAACAGAAGAAGAAAAAAAACACUGCAAUUAUUUAUAUAUACCAACCCCCUUUUUCAAAACUAUCAACAUUCAACAUUUAACAUUUUACUGUACAGAGAGUCAAAGUUGCAUUCAUGAAUUUCAUGUAUAGUGUGUAUUCCUGAAAUGAAAAACCCCACAUACACAUGUAAUGUAGUUGCUCACUGCAGUUACACAGAGCUAUUUUUGCAUCUCAGAGAGUUGACAAUGGUUUGGCAUGUUUAUAAACACAGCUUCUUGAGUAUCAUGACAACACUUGAGCUUCAAUAUCAUAUGAAGAUGUAUUUCUUCAAGGUGUGUAACAGAAAAAGGUAUCAAAAUGUGUAGCCUGAAUCCUUUGCAAUCUUGUCAACUGUUAUCAUUCAAUUCUUCCCCCAAAUCCUUCCUAACUCCCCCCCCCCCCCUCCUCUCCAUACAUUUUGAAAGCAGUGGUACGUAAUAUGGGUACAUAUGCCUGACUUUUUUCCAUACAGAUCUGUACAUGUGAAUGUAUUUCAAUUCACUGUCAAUUUUAAAACAACACAAUUACAGCAUAUAAUAUUAAGGUACAGUUCGAUGAACAUGUUUUUAGAGAGAAAUUAUGUAGAUGUAGAUCUAUGUGCCAAUUGAAAAGGUCUAUGUUAAUUGCUCGUCCUACCAUUUUGUUACUGAGUUGAUUUGAUUUUUUUUUUUUUUUUUUUUUGGGGGGGGGGGGGAUAAGGAUUUAUUUUUAUCAGCUGAUCAUCAGAAAUGAUCUCUCAUGUUGAUUUCUGAGAAUAAGAAUACACAAAAGGUAUCUGAAUGAAAAACUGAUGGCUCUUUACGAAUUUUUGAAUGAAAAUACUUACACAUGUCCAGAAUUGUUAUUAUUUGUAUUUGUCACAUACUGGACAUGUAUUGAAUGUAACAAGAAAAAACCUGAAAAAGGGAAACAUUCAAGCCUAGCCUACUGCCUGGAUACACAGGGAAGUACAAGGUGGAAAGUGAUUGAGAUGAAAUCCACAAGUCAAAAAGCAUGAGCCAAUUCGCUAUUUCCGUCACUGAGAAUCAAAUUGUGCACAUCCUACUGUCAUUUUAAUGUUCAUGAUUGGCCAUUCAAUUACAGAACUUUUUGGAACACAUAUGUACAUGUAUUUUAAAAUCUCUUUUGUGUUACUGACAAGGUGCAUUGUGAAUGAUAUAGUUAAUGAUAUUGUAUGUUCGGAGCCAGAAGGGUAGUGACUUAUAUAUUGUUAGUGAGUUAACACUAUUCUAGAUCUAAACAGGCAAUGUGCAGGACGUAUAGUUUUCCAUCAAUUUAUUUUGAGUUUGAGCUCCAGAGUCAAGUUUCAUGACAUUUGGUACUGAUAACUAGCCACAAGAGUUGAUGAGUUUGUAAGCUAUUGAAAUGCGUUUGAUGUAUUUGUUGGGAAUUUCUGAAACGUGAGGGGAAAGAAGAGACUAUUCUGAUUCAAUUCAAGAAGCAAAGUGGGCAAUGACAAUAAAAAGAUGGGCAAAUAUUGUUAAAAGUUGAAAAAUCCUGGUCCUUUCAAGAGAGGGAGAAACUUAUUAUUUGAUACUUAAUAAAGACUCUUAUCAAUAAAUGCCUGUUUGUAGGGAAAUGUGAGCUUUAUCUUCCUGUAGCCUCUUGUAUUAUGUCAUUUGAUAUGUUAACCUUUAGCUUACAAGUAUUUGAAUGAGUCGCAUCUUGUUUUCUGAUUAUUAAAGCUACUUUAUUCAACUGCAAUUAUAACGUACAGAUGAUGAAUAUGAAGAAGGGAAAGGAUUGAAGGAUAAUAAAUAUAUGUCACUUUUGUGUGAA
rnacentral:lncRNA from 1 species